AUCCUUUUGUAGUUCAUAAGUGUGAUGAUUGGGUGUUCACACUCUUGUGUGAGAUGUGCCUCCCUCAAACCUUGUUACGACAUGGGCACAUUAUCCGUCUGACA
ensembl:snoRNA